GCCGGCGCCGCGCGUGCCUGCGGUCCCAGCUGCUUGGGAGGCUGAGGCAGGAGAAUCGCGUGACCGGGAGUUCUGCGCUGCAGUGCGCUGUGCCGAUCCAGGUCCUCACUGAGGCCGGCAUCAGUAUGGUGGCCUCUGCCACCAGGACGCCUAGGGAGAGGCGAGGCAGCCCCAGUUGGAAACGGAGCUCGUCAGUAGUGGCAUCGGGCCUGGGAAUAGCCUCUGCGCUCCAGACGGGUCGACCUGGCGAGACUCCGCCUCUAAAACCAGCAAAUACUGGGAGGCUGAGGGACGAGGAUCGCUGGAGCCCGGGAGGCGGAGGUUGCAGACUCCCUAACAGAUGUCUCGAGGUCCAUUAUUGGGCGAAGGUCACUGCAAAUUCAGGGAGACCCAGGAGCUCACCCCAACCAGCUUCUUUACCAGGUGAGUGACCUCAGCCCUGCAGCUGGACUCAUCGAGACAAUGACCUCACCCGAAGAUAGAUGACUCCUGUCCACCGUCCACACAACAACUGAGCUGGCCCCGGGUCGACUCCUCUACACCCUGCUUCCUACUGUACCCCUGUCAAAGGCCUUCCUCCUACCCUUCCCACUCCUCCUCUUCCUCCCUGGCAGCCCAACCACCACAAAUUCACUAACUUGUUUUCAACUCUUGCAGGCUGCCCUCCUAACCCUAGCCCUGACCUCUGCCCUCUUAACCCCAGCCCUGACCCCACCGCCCUCUCAGGAGGCUUUACCAAUCAUCUGCAUGUUAGCCCCACCCAAGGAACAGGCCUAUUUUCAAGCAUA